rnacentral:rRNA from 1 species
AGCAGUAGCCACGGGAAUACGUAGGUGGCAAGCGUUGUCCGGAAUUAUUGGGCGUAGAGGGCUCGCAGGCGGUUUCUUAAGUCUGAUGUGAAAGCCCCCGGCUCAACCGGGGAGGGUCAUUGGAAACUGGGAAACUUGAGUGCAGAAGAGGAGAGUGGAAUUCCACGUGUAGCGGUGAAAUGCGUAGAGAUGUGGAGGAACACCAGUGGCAAAGGCGACUCUCUGGUCUGUAACUGACGCUGGGGAGCGAAAGCGUGGGGAGCGAACAGGAUUAGAUACCCCUGUAGUCCCUGUCUCUUAUAA